rnacentral:lncRNA from 1 species
GGAACCAGUGGCUCUGAGCAUUCUACCUCGAUUUCCUACACUCCUCCAAGCAACUCUCUCUUCCACCUUCCAACCUCUACAAGAAAAAAAAAACAGCACGAGAAAGAUCACUCCAGCUCGUGAAAGAUCGCGGGGCAAAGCUCCACGGGCAUCCCCCGAGCUCGCACGCUCGUCGGCGGGCGCGGCGGCGGUCGAGCAUUGGUUGAUCUAUCUGACCGACCGCGCGUGGCGUUCGAUCGUCGGGAGGGGCGAU